AACUUUUUCAAUCGGUACCAACGGGGCACACAUUGCAAAGCAUGCAUCUCUCCGACUUUGUCUUCAGGGGCCCGCGUGCCCGCCCCAGAAGCAUCUUCAGUUCCCAGUGUCUGUGUGUCCUUCCAGGGAGUAGCUUAGGAACACACAAGCAGAAAUGCACAGAUAGAAAUACAUAUUCCUCAAAAGAUCAGCGGGAGGGGCCUUCAUGGGUCUCCUGCACCCACUUGGCUUGAAAAAUUCUCUCAAACCGUCACCCCAGUCUCAUCAUGAGAAAAACAUCAGACCAAUCCCAAUGCAGGCGCAUCCUGCAGCUCCGUGACCAGCAAGCCUCGAAACUGUCAAGGUCACCUGCCUCGAAACUGUCAAGGUCAUCAAAUCAAAACCAAGAGCACACAAUUUAACCCAGGACAGCAGGGAGACAGCACCCCAGGCCGAGUGAAGGGGAGGACCGCACAGGCAAACGGUGAGCACCCAGGCAGGGGACGGCUGUGGCUCUUGGGCCCUUUCUUCCUGCAAACCUUCCUCGUGAAGAAAAGAAUGAAGCCGAGUUCUGUAGGACAUGGGGAGAAAGAGGCCCUGAUCCGCCCCAGUCCAGCUGAAAGCCUUCUCCCUGCAAAUUGCCAACUCUCCCCACGACCUCCGUCCCCACCUCACUUCCCUCGCUCCCUCCUUGCGGUUCAGGCAGCCAGACCCUCUUAUCACUCACACACACAGCUUCCUUUUUAG
rnacentral:lncRNA from 10 species